CUUUUAGUAUAAAUGUGUCCCAUGCAAUAUUUGGAACACAUUUAUACUAAAA
rfam:Macaca mulatta chromosome 16, whole genome shotgun sequence.